AUGGAGGGCUACCAUGAUGGUGAAGGGACGGAACACCUCUUCUAUGACAACAGCCUGAGAGAAGUGACUGCUCAGCCUGGACAAGGGGAGCUCAAGAGGAUUCCACCCAUGGCCAUCAAUCCCUGCAGGGAGGAACAGAGAGAAUGUAGCCAGGCUGCAUCCAGUGGAGCCAAGUGCCAGGACCAGAGGUUGCCACCAAACAUCAGGAGCACUCCUGCACUGUGUAAGUGCUGCAGCACUGGCACAGAGACCCAGAGAGGCUGUGGGGUUUCCUCUGGGAGAUCUCCAAACCCAUCGGAUGUGUUCCUGGGCACCAAUUCUGCUGGCCCUGUUGCAGCAGGGCCUGGACCAGAUGGGCCCAGAUCUCCAUUCCAACAUCAACCAUUCCGUGCUUCUGCAACACAACACGACAUGCUGUGUUUGGCUCAACCUGGCCAUUCACAAACAGGUUUCUUCCUCCUCCUGCUCAGUGCCAUCUCUGUGGGAUCACACUGCCUCCUACGAUCCAACUCUGUUCCAAUCAAGGUCAACACCAAAACAGUGCUGACCUUCAUGGAGCCUGGGCUUUGGAACACAGGCACAGGAAUAACCACUGCAUGGGUGGAACCUUGUGUAUUUCUAAAACAUGCUCCUAACUGCCCUGUUCAAACUGUGAUGCAGAACCAAGGUUGCAUUCCCAGCACAGCCAGGCAGGCCGGCACCAGCCCCAAGGCAUCAAGCCACAGCCUGAGAGGCCAUCACCAGCCCCGGGGCCUAAAUCCAUGCCUGGCAGGGACCCCGGCCUGCAGGCUUUUGGCCUGGAAGGGCUUCCCCGGCCUGCAGGCAUUGGAGCUGGCAGUGCCCCCCAGAGCAGACAGCUGGCUUUUAGCCUGGCAGGGCCCCCCUAACCGCAUGACCAGCUUCAGGCCUGGCAAGGUCCCCCCCAACUGCGGGCUUCGGGCAGAGCAGCUGAAGGCUGAGUGGAAGAAAAGAUCCGGGAGAUGCGGGUCGAUCUCGGCUGAACACGAGCCGGCAGCGCGCCCAGGUGGCCAAGAAGCCGCGGAUAGAGCCAGCAGCGCAGCCGGCAGCUCCAGCUCUCCAGGAAGGCCGGCGUGGAACGGGGCAGCGCCGGCUCGGCCUCGCGGAGCUCCACCACGGCCCCGCCCUCCUUGUCCUGCGGCCCCAACCGGGCCCGGCCGCCCCGGGGCCUGGAAGCGGAGCAUGCGCACGGCGCGGAACGGCGCCUCGGGCACCCGGAGCGACGACAAAGAAACGGAGAGAGCCCGGCAGGGGGCGCGCGGCCCAUUCGGGACCGACCAAUGA
rnacentral:lncRNA from 1 species